GGUGUCAGGGUCUGUGUACCUAUAGUUAAGGUAGAGGUUGUCAGGGUCUUUGUAUCUAUAGUUAAGGUAGAGGUUGUCAGGGUCUGUGUACCUAUAGUUAAGGUAAAGGUUGUCAGGGUCUAUGUACCUAUGGUUAAGGUAGAGGUUGUCAGGGUCUGUGUACCUAUAGUUAAGGUAAAGGUUGUCAGGGUCUGUGUACCUAUAGUUAAGGUAAAGGUUGUCAGGGUCUGUGUAGCUAUAGUUAAGGUAGAGGUUGUCAGGGUCUGUGUACCUAUAGUUAAGGUAGAGGUUGUCAGGGUCUGUGUACCUAUAGUUAAGGUAGAGGUUGUCAG
ensembl:lncRNA